UGGGGAAUCUUGCGCAAUGGGCGAAAGCCUGACGCAGCAACGCCGCGUGUGUGAUGAAGGUCUUCGGAUCGUAAAGCACUGUCGGGAGGGACGAAUAAGGCCGGCGCUAACAUCGCCGGUUGAUGACGGUACCUCCAAAGGAAGCACCGGCUAACUCUGUGCCAGCAGCCGCGGUAAUACAGAGGGUGCAAGCGUUGUUCGGAAUUAUUGGGCGUAAAGCGCGUGUAGGCGGUUCAGCAAGUCGGAUGUGAAAGCCCUCGGCUUAACCGAGGAAGGGCGUUCGAAACUACUGAACUUGAGUGCCGGAGAGGGUGGCGGAAUUCCCGGUGUAGAGGUGAAAUUCGUAGAUAUCGGGAGGAACACCAGCGGCGAAGGCGGCCACCUGGACGGUAACUGACGCUGAGACGCGAAAGCGUGGGGAGCAAACAGGAUUAGAUACCCUGGUAGUCCACGCUGUAAACGAUGAGCGCUAGGUGUUGUGGGUGUUGACCCC
rnacentral:rRNA from 1 species